GGUUUCGUAGUUCAACGGAUAGAAUAGUUGUUUCCUAAACAAUAGAUCUGGGUUCGAUUCCCGGCGAGACCA
rnacentral:tRNA from 1 species